rnacentral:rRNA from 1 species
AUGUCGAUGCCGCAGCCCUAUUCUGGCGGUGGGGACUGGUUCUUCGACACAUGGACUACCUCCCAUAUGGCCGUUGACCCCGGUAUGCUCUCCACUUCCUCUUCUCGAUCCACUCAUCCCGGCAUCAUCGUUGGCAACGGUUCUAUGAUGCCCGUCUCCCACUCUGGCGAUGCUCUUAUUCCCACAUCCUCCUCUCCACUCACUCUCGGCAAUGUACUGAUUUCUCCUCAUCUUAUUAAGAACUUGGUUUCUGUUCGUGCAUUCACUCGUGAUAAUUAUGUUGCUGUCUCAUUUGACCCAUUUGGCUUCUCUGUUAAGGAUCUCAUUUCCGGGACGGUGCUCCUCCGAUGUAACAGCUCUGGUGAUCUGUACCCACUCCGUCCCACCGCCGAUGUCCAGCAGCCUCAUGCCUUGCUUGCCGCCGUCUCCACCGAUUUGUGGCAUCAGCGACUCGGACAUCCUGAACGUGCUGCGCUCUCUACAAUAACUUCAUCCUUUGAUUUUCAAUGUAAUAAAACGCAGGCACAUACUUGUCAUGCCUGCCAGAUAGGCAAAGUGUUCGGCAGCCGUAUUCUGCUUCCUCCACCAUUGCUACUUCUCCCUUCCACUUAUUACACUAUGAUGUAUGGACCUCUCCAAUCGUUAGUAACUCUGGUUUUGCAUAUUUUUUGGUUGUCCUGGAUGAUCACACGCAUU